rnacentral:tRNA from 1 species
GCUCGAUUUAGAUCGGGAAAAUCGUACGGAUUUUAUGAAACCGUGUGCUAUGGCUCGAAUCCGUAGUCAAUCC